rnacentral:pre_miRNA from 1 species
GUUGAGAGGAAUGUUGUCUGGAUCGAGAUCAUGAAGAAAUCAUUCGAUCAAUAUGUAAAAUGAAAACCCUAAAUGAUUCUCGGACCAGGCUUCAUUCCCCCCAAC